GCGGGCAGGGGACGGCGGCGGUGCCGGCUGCGGGUUUUGGUGCCAGAAGACCUUGUUGAAGCUUUUCUGGAUCAGAAAUGAAACUUCAAAGUCACAUUAUCACAGGUCACAUUCUCAGAGUCACC